CCUACGGGUGGCAGCAGUGGGGAAUAUUGCACAAUGGGGGAAACCCUGAUGCAGCGACGCCGCGUGAGUGAAGAAGUAUUUCGGUAUGUAAAGCUCUGUCAGCAGGGAAGAAAAUGACGGUACCUGACCAAGAAGCCCCGGCUAAAUACGUGCCAGCAGCCGCGGGAAUACGUAGGGGGCAAGCGUUAUCCGGAUUUACUGGGUGUAUAGGGAGCGUAGACGGCAGGGCAAGUCUGGAGUGAAAGGCGGGGGCUCAACCCCCGGACUGCUCUGGAAACUGUACGGCUGGAGUGCAGGAGAGGUAAGUGGAAUUCCUAGUGUAGCGGUGAAAUGCGUAGAUAUUAGGAGGAACACCAGUGGCGAAGGCGGCUUACUGGACUGUAACUGACGUUGAGGCUCGAAAGCGUGGGGAGCAAAUAGGAUUAGAUACCCCAGUAGUC
rnacentral:rRNA from 1 species